ACGUGAGCAACCUGCCCCUGACUCUGGGAUACGCGCUGGAAACGGCGUCUAAUACUGGAUAUGUCCCAUCACCGCAUGGUGUGUGGGUGGAAAGAUUUUUCGGUUGGGGAUGGGCUCGCGGCCUAUCAGCUUGUUGGUGAGGUAAUGGCUCACCAAGGCGUCGACGGGUAGCCGGCCUGAGAGGGUGACCGGCCACACUGGGACUGAGACACGGCCCAGACUCCUACGGGAGGCAGCAGUGGGGAAUAUUGCACAAUGGGCGGAAGCCUGAUGCAGCAACGCCGCGUGAGGGAUGACGGCCUUCGGGUUGUAAACCUCUUUUAGCAGGGAAGAAGCGAAAGUGACGGUACCUGCAGAAAAAGCACCGGCUAACUACGUGCCAGCAGCCGCGGUAAUACGUAGGGUGCAAGCGUUAUCCGGAAUUAUUGGGCGUAAAGAGCUCGUAGGCGGUUUGUCGCGUCUGCUGUGAAAUCCCGAGGCUCAACUUCGGGCUUGCAGUGGGUACGGGCAGACUAGAGUGCGGUAGGGGAGAUUGGAAUUCCUGGUGUAGCGGUGGAAUGCGCAGAUAUCAGGAGGAACACCGAUGGCGAAGGCAGAUCUCUGGGCCGUAACUGACGCUGAGGAGCGAAAGGGUGGGGAGCAAACAGGCUUAGAUACCCUGGUAGUCCACCCCGUAAACGUUGGGAACUAGUUGUGGGGUCCUUUCCACGGAUUCCGUGACGCAGCUAACGCAUUAAGUUCCCCGCCUGGGGAGUACGGCCGCAAGGCUAAAACUCAAAGGAAUUGACGGGGACCCGCACAAGCGGCGGAGCAUGCGGAUUAAUUCGAUGCAACGCGAAGAACCUUACCAAGGCUUGACAUACACGAGAACGGGCCAGAAAUGGUCAACUCUUUGGACACUCGUGAACAGGUGGUGCAUGGUUGUCGUCAGCUCGUGUCGUGAGAUGUUGGGUUAAGUCCCGCAACGAGCGCAACCCUCGUUCUAUGUUGCCAGCACGUAAUGGUGGGAACUCAUGGGAUACUGCCGGGGUCAACUCGGAGGAAGGUGGGGAUGACGUCAAAUCAUCAUGCCCCUUAUGUCUUGGGCUUCACGCAUGCUACAAUGGCCGGUACAAUGGGCUGCGAUACCGUAAGGUGGAGCGAAUCCCAAAAAGCCGGUCCCAGUUCGGAUUGAGGUCUGCAACUCGACCUCAUGAAGUCGGAGUCGCUAGUAAUCGCAGAUCAGCAACGCUGCGGUGAAUACGUUCCCGGGUCUUGUACACACCGCC
rnacentral:rRNA from 1 species